CCGUGCUAGACGGCGGAGUAGCGGUCCGUUGUAACCCGAAACCCGCUCUAGCGGGGUUGAAUUCCUCGUCUGAGGUCGUUCGUUGUCGGUCCGACAGCGGGCAGCGCAAUGUUGAAGGCCUGGUCCCGCGCGGCGGCGACCUUCGAACCGUGUCAGGUCCGGAAGGAAGCAGCAGUAAGGAGUGCUCGUCGGGUGCCGCGGGGCAGCCGGGCCCGAGUCAGCGGACCCGCGGCUGUGACGACGCGACUAUCGAAGACAGGUGCACGG
rnacentral:SRP_RNA from 1 species